UAAAAUCAAUAAACUUUAUUGAAAGCAAUGGAAACAAACUACACAAAACCAAACCAACCCCAACAAAGCCAACCCACCCCUAAAAAGAAGAAAAAGAAAAAAAAAUGAAAAAGAAAGUGAAAAAGAAAAAGAAAACAAACAAAAGACCUAUGGGUAGUAGAUAUUAAAAGACUGGCCUGUAAAACCUUGCACAGCUCUGCACGAACCAUCUGUAAGGAUAAGAGCAGUCCAUAUAAGCCAAGGAAGGAGUCCACUCUCCCCAUUGCCCUCAGGGAGUGUGUGUCCUCUGUAGUGAAGCCUAGUCCUAGUGUCCCGUGGGAUUUCCUGGGGUCCACUGGAGCCAGUCACUUGGUGUGACCCUUCUUUUGGGGUUAUCUUUAGGCUCCUUGUUGUUGAGGAGUCACUAUUGGCCUCUCCAUCUGUCCCUGUAGCAGAGUCUCUCACUUUCAGGGCUGAUUUCCUAAUCCCCGGGCCCUGGAGAAGGCACUUCAUUAUUAUCCCCACCUGCAAUCAAUCCUUAUAGUUAGCGAGACACCUUGCAUUCCGGGAAGUCACUGGAGUUGGGUUUUUGAUGCACAUCCUUGCUGGGAUGGGUCACUUCUCCAGUUCCAAAUCGGGUCUCUUCAGGACUUUGGCCUCUCGGGUUUCUAGAAGCAAGAGGUACUGUCGGGGAUCAGAGCAUAUCUAGAAGAGUCUGAUAUUCUUCUGGAGUGAGAGGCAAGAAAGUGAAAAAGAAAAAGAAAACAAACAAAAGACCUAUGGGUAGUAGAUAUUACAAGACUGGCCUGUAAAACCUUGCACAGCUCUGCACGAAGCAUCUGUAAGGAUAACAGCAGUCCAUAUAACCCAGGGAAGGAGUCCACUCUCCCCAUUGCCCUCAGGGAGUGUGUGUCCUCUGUAGUGAAGCCUAGUCCUAGUGUCCCGUGUGAUUUCCUGGGGUCCACUGGAGCCAGUCACUUGGUGUGGCCCUUCUUUUGGGGUUACCUUUAGGGUCCUUGUUGUUGAGGAGUCACUAUUGGCCUCUCCAUCUGUCCCUGUAGCAGAGUCUCUCACUUUCAGGGCUGAUUUCCUAAUCCCCGGGCCCUGGAGAAGGCACUUCAUUAUUAUCCCCACCUGCAAUCAAUCCUUAUAGUUAGCGAGACACCUUGCAUUUCGGGAAGUCACUGGAGUUGGGUUUUUGAUGCACAUCCUUGCUGGGAUGGGUCCCUUCUCCAGUUCCAAAUCGGGUCUCUUCAGGACUUUGGCCUCUCGGGUUUCUAGAAGCAAGGGGUACUGUCAGGGAGUCAGAGCAUAUCUAGAAGAGUCUGAUAUUCUUCUGGAGUGAGAGGCAGAUCAGGUGUUGUGUCCAUUUGCUCCCAUGUUUCCUCCACAUUCACAGGGGCAGGCCCCUGCUCCUCAAGUUGGACUUCGGUCAGCAGUUGAUCAAGGAAGAGCUCCAG
rnacentral:lncRNA from 1 species